rfam:Myotis lucifugus cont2.49313, whole genome shotgun sequence.
GCUGGUGUUGCUCAGUGGUCAGAGCAUCGACCCAGUACAGAGGUCACAGGUUCGAUUCCUGGUCAAAGGCA